rnacentral:rRNA from 1 species
GUCGAGAAUAAUUCACAAUGGACGAAAGUCUGAUGGUGCAACGCCGCGUGGAGGAUGAAGGUCUUCGGAUUGUAAACUCCUGUCAUCGGGGAGUAAGACCUGGCGGUAAAUAGCCGACAGGGUUGAUAGUACCCGAAGAGGAAGGGACGGCUAACUUCGUGCCAGCAGCCGCGGUAAUACGAAGGUCCCAAGCGUUGUUCGGAAUCACUGGGCGUAAAGGGAGCGUAGGCGGCGUGGUAAGUCAGAUGUGAAAUCCCGGGGCUCAACCCCGGAACUGCAUCCGAUACUGGCAUGCUUGAGGGUUGGAGAGGUAGCUGGAAUUCUCGGUGUAGCAGUGAAAUGCGUGGAUAUCGAGAGGAACACUCGUGGCGAAGGCGAGCUACUGGACAACAUCUGACGCUGAGGCUCGAAGGCCAGGGGAGCAAAAGGGAUUAGAUACCCCUGUAGUCC